rnacentral:rRNA from 1 species
ACGUAUGGGGCAAGCGUUGUUCGGAUUUAUUGGGCGUAAAGGGCGUGUAGGCGGCUCAUCAAGUCUGGUGUGAAAAUGCAGGGCUCAACCCUGCAAAUGCGCUGGAAACUGGUGGGCUUGAGUUCUUGAGGGGAAGCUGGAAUUCCAGGUGUAGGGGUGAAAUCUGUAGAUAUCUGGAAGAACACCGGUGGCGAAGGCGAGCUUCUAUCAGAGGACUGACGCUGAGGCGCGAAAGCGUGGGGAGCAAACAGGAUUAGAUACCCUGGUAGUCCACGCUGUAAACGAUGUGCACUAGGCGUGGGGCACGUACGUGUUCUGUGCCGUAGUUAACGUGUUAAGUGCACCGCCUGGGGAGUAUGCUCGCAAGGGUG